rnacentral:lncRNA from 10 species
CAGGCGGAGCACUUGAGGUCAGGAGUUUGAGACCAGCCUGGCCAACAUGGCAAAACCCCAUCUCUACUAAAAAUACAAAAAAAAAAAGAACUUAGCCAGGCAUGGUGGCACACACCUUGUAGUCCCAGUUACUCGGAGAGCUGAGCCAGGAGAAUUGCUUGAACCUGGGAAGCAGAGGUUGCCAUGAGCCGAGAUUGUACCACUGCACUCUAGCCUGGGUGACAGAGCAGGACUCCGUCUCUAAAAAAGAAAAACAAAUAGAUUGGUUAGUACAAUCCCUAGAUUUAGGAUCUAUGUAUAUAUCUCUCUAUAUAUCUCCAUGUAUCUGUUUAUAUAGAGAGAGGGAGUGAAUCAUUUUAGAAUUCAUAGUUUGAUAAGAAAUCCUGAUAAAAACAAAGUAUAUACUUGGCAGGGUUAAAAGAUAGGAGGUAGCCGGGCAUAGUGGCUUACACCUGUAAUCCCAGCACUUUGGGAGGCCAAGGCAGGUGGAUCACUUGAGGCUAGGAGUUUGAGACCAGCCUGGCCACCAUGGUGAAAAAACCCAAUCUCUACUAAAAAUACAAAAAUUGGCCAGGCAUGGUGGCGGGUGCCUGUGAUCUCAGCACUUUGGGAGGCCAAGGUAGGCAGAUCACCUGAGGUCAGGAGUUGCCUGGUCAACAUGGUGAAACCCCAUACAAAUAUUACAAAAAUUAGCUGGGCAUGGUAGCAGGCCCCUGUGAUCCCAGCUACGUAGGAGGCUGAGGCAUGAGAAUUGCUUGAACCCGGGAGGCAGAGGUUGGAGUGAGCCAGGAUCGUGCCACUGUGUACUCCAGCCUGGAGGACCCAGUGAAACUGUGUCUCAAAAAAAAUAGAAAAAUCUGCCGGUCAUGAUGGUGCACGCCUGUAAUCCCAGCUCCUAGGGAGGCUGAGGUACAAGAAUCGCUUGAACCCGAGAGGCGGAGGUUGCAGUGAACCAAGAUUAUGCCACUGCCCUCCAGCCUGGGCAAGGGGGAGAUUCUGUCUCCAAAAAAAAGGAGGUAUAUAUACAUGUGCUUGUGCCUGCAGGUAUGUGUUUGUGUGUUCUAGGUUUUGACCACGAAAAAAGAACUGAUUUACUUGUGGCAUUUUAAUACAUGCCAAAACAGUACAAGAUACCUGAGAAACUCUGCAACCUGUGCUCUUCUUCUUCAUAAAUAACUGAGUCCACAUAAUGGUGAUACUGGGAUCUGAGAGAAUUGGUCUUAGGCCUUAUGCUGCAAGUACUGCUCAUCACUACUAAGAGACCCCCUUUUAAUGCGGAGGUGCCAUUUUUAUAAUGCAUUCCAGAAAGUAAUCAAUUGAUGCGUGACUAGGAAAAUUUAGAGGAGUUUUUAAUCACAUGACUUCACCUGACGAGAUUUCACAACUAUAAAACCUCCCUUUUUUCAAAAAAUUAUUAAGAAAAUAAACCAGGCCCCAGUCCAGGGAAGUAGCUUCUCUAGAGCAGGCUUUCUUAUAAUUACGUGGACUAAUUGCCUAUUUCCCUGUCUAGUGGGGACUGGAUAUGCACAUUUUGUAGAGAUAUUGGAAAGCCAGAAGUUGAAUAUGAUUGUGAUAAUUUGCAACAUAGUAAGAAGGGGAAAACUGCGCAGGGGUUAAGCCCCGUGGACCAAAGGAAAUGUGAACGUCUUCUGCUUUACCUCUAUUGCCAUGAAUUAAGUAUUGAAUUCCAGGAGCCUGUUCCUGCUUCGAUACCAAACUACUAU